GUCCGUGUCCCCCACCCAAAUCUCAUCUUGAAUUAUAGUUUCCAUAAUUCCCAAGUGUCCUGGGAGGAACCCGGUGGGAGGUAACUGAAUCAUGGGAGCAGUUACUGCCAGGCUGUUCUCGUGUUAGUGAGUGAGUUCUCAGGAGAUCUGAUGGUUUUAUAAGGGCCCUUUCCCCGCUUUGCUCAGCACUUCUCCUUCCUACUGCCCUGUGAAGAAAGUGCCUUUCUUCCCCUUUGCCUUCCACCAUGAUUGUAAGUUUCCUGAGACUUUCCUAGCCAUGCAGGACUGUGAGUCCAUUAAACCUCUUUACUUAUAAAUUAGCCAGUCUCGGGUCUCUCUUCAUAGCAGUGUGAGAACAGACUAAUGCAGGGGGGCUAUUAUGUUGCCAAUC
rnacentral:lncRNA from 1 species